GUUUAAGUUUAAGCUAAUCAAAGUAAUUCACCUUAUUCACACGCACGUAUUAAUUACUGAGGCAUCAGAAUUCCAGUAGCUCUGCAAUGGUGGGUGUUCUUGUUAUUUGUUGAAUGAUGCUGUUUUUGUUAAUUGUGCUUCUGCGGUAGGUGAUACUAAUGGCCGAAUUACUUAUAGCACCUUCAUCCGCUACUUGCUGUUUGUAUUUGUUAAUUGAACUGUAAUUUUGCUUCUACAAUUGCUUGGGCAUUAAUCUGGAGGUUUUUAGGGUAGCAAGUGUGCAAAUGGUUUCUCAUUAUUAUAUUUUUAGGUUCUGCAAAGUAAUAACAAGAGUCUUUAGCUAGCUUGGCACAUGAAUCUUUUUAUAUCAUUUGAUCAGUGUAAUAUAUGGGUGUGUUUUUUACUGUAUGUGUGUGUACUGUGGCUUUUAUCAAAUUCUUUUCCAAGUACGCCUCACCUAACUUCACACCCUCCUGGCCUCCUCCUUAAAAUAUUCAUAUAGAGCCUGAAUUCAUUGGCUAAACUUGU
rnacentral:misc_RNA from 1 species